GACGAACGCUAGCGGCGUGCCUAACACAUGCAAGACGAACGAUUGGCGGACGGGUGAGUAAUGUCUGGGAAACUGCCUGAUGGAGGGGGAUAAUUACUGGAAACGGUAGCUAAUACCGCAUACCAUCAGAUUUCCCCAGAUUGGAUUAGCUAUGGGGUGGGGUAACGGCGCACCACGGCGACGCACCCUAGCUGGUCGGAGAGGAUUACCAGCCACACUGGAACUGAGACACGGUCCAGACUCCUACGGGAGGCAGCAGUGGGGAAUAUGGCACAAUGGGCGCAAGUCGGAUGAAGCCAUGCCGCGUGUAUGACGAAGGCCUUCGGGUUGUAAAGUACUUACAGCGGGGAGGCGUUUCCCGCAGAAGACGCACCGGCUAACUCCGUGCCAGCAGCCGCGGUAAUUC
rnacentral:rRNA from 1 species